UGGAGAGUUGAAGAAACAAAGAAAAAAAGAAGACACUUUGGAAGAAAAACAAAGGGCCAAUUUCGGCCAAGCUUGGAGGAAACAAGAACCUUGGAAAAAUUUCUCAAAAAUUACUCUCUACUAAUUGGAAGGUCCCUAGCAAGGAGAAGAGGUCAUUGGAACAAGUAGAACAUUUAUUGUUGCAAGAUCAACAUUCUAGCCAAGUGGGAAAUUGAAGAAAAAGGAUUUUGGCGGAUUUGGAACGUGAAUUUGGAGUCGCAUAAGAAGCAGAAAAGGUACACCAGAUGAGCCACAGCUAUCAUAGAAGAUGUUCCAGCGGAGUUGGCAGGCUCCACUUGUUCUGGAGUGCUGCCGAGUCAGAGUGUCUGAGCCAUGAUGUUUGUUUGAUGUUAGAGACUUUGCAGACAGAGUCGUGGGUAUAGAGUGUCGAUAAUAUGUUGUAUCAUAAAGUCCAUGUGAUUGCAGAUUCUGUUUGACUUGAGUACG